UGAAACUGACAAAGGAAAUUAGGAUAGCGUUGGUCGCUAUUGUAGGUAUGCUUUUAGGACUCAAUCUGUUAACCGAACGGCAUGGGAAGGCCGGUCAGAGAGUGUGAGAACCACGUAGGUGAAAACGGAGAGAGCUGCGCAGAUUCCAGAGUACGGCCAGACACGUGAAACCUGGUCGGAAGAUGGGGGGACCACCCUCCAACCCUAAAUACUACCCAGUGACCGAUAGCGUAUAGUACUGUGAAGGAAAGGUGAAAAGCACCCCGGGAGGGGAGUGAAAAAGAACCUGAAACCCUGUGCCUACAAGCACCUAGAGCACGUCAAUGUGUGAUAGGGUACUUUUUGUAGAACGGUCCGGCGAGCGAUUGUAUGCAGCAAGGUUAAGGACUUAAGGUCUGGAGCCGAAGCGAAAGCGAGUUUGAAAAGGGCGUUAAGUUGCAUAUAAUGGGCCCGAAACCGGGUGACCUACCCAUGGUCAGGUUGAAGUGGAAGUAAAAUUCCAUGGAGGACCGAACCGACCUCCGUUGAAAAGGCGGCGGAUGAACUGUGGGUAGCGGAGAAAUUCCAAUCGAACCCGGAGAUAGCUGGUUCUCCCCGAAAUAGUUUUAGGACUAGCCUCAAGUUAGAUACCUGGAGGUAAAGCACUGAAUAGCCUAGCGGCCGAGAGGUUAGCGAAGCUUAUCAAACUCAGAAUGCCAGAGUAUUGAUGCUUGGGAGUCAGACAGUGUCAGAUAAAUGUCAUUGUCAAAAGGGAAACAGCCCAGAUCUACAGCUAAGGUCCCAAAGUCAGGUUAAGUGGAAAACGAUGUGAAGAUACGCAGACAACCAGGAUGUUGGCUCAGAAGCAGCCACUCAUUCAAAGAGUGCGUAAUAGCUCACUGGUCGAGCGUCUUUGCGCGGAGAAUUUAACGGGGCUAAACCUGACACCGAAGCUUAGGCAAUACAGCAAUGUAUUGGGUAGGGGAGCGUUGUAUACGCGGUGAAACAGUAGCGCAAGCGGCUGUGGAGUGUAUAGAAGUGAGAAUGCCGGAAUGAGUAGCGCGAAUGCAGUGAGAAUCUGCAUGGCCGAAAGCCUCAGGUUUUUGGAGGAAGGUUCGUCCGCUCCAAGUUAGUCGGGAGCUAAGGUGAGGCCGGAAGGCGUAGCCGAUGCACAGACGGUAGAGAUUCCGUCACCACCAAAAGAGUUAAGCACAGGGACACAUUUGAAGUCUCAGAGCCGGGUGUUGGUUCCGGUAGAGAUCGAGGGAAAUUAGUACCGAAGUCUGGGAUGGAAGAUGGCGAGAAAAGCUGUGUGUAUUUCUGAGGUGCCCGUACCGCAAACCGACACAGGUAGGUAGGAAGAAGAUUCUAAGGCCAACGGGAGAAGGGUUGUUAAGGAACUCGGCAAAUUGACCCCGUAACUUCGGGAGAAGGGGUGCUCCAGAGAUGGAGCCGCAGAGAAUCGGCCCAAGCAACUGUUUACCAAAAACACAGGUUUGUGCUAAAUCGAAAGAUGACGUAUACGAGCUGACGCCUGCCCGGUGCUGGAAGGUUAAGAGGAGAUGUGCAAGCAUUGAAUCGAAGCCCCAGUGAACGGCGGCCGUAACUAUAACGGUCCUAAGGUAGCGAAAUUCCUUGUCAGGUAAGUUCUGACCCGCAUGAAAGGCGUAAUGAUUUGGGCACUGUCUCAACAGCCCGCCCGGCGAAAUUGUAGUACCGGUGAAGAUGCCGGUUACCCGCGACAAGACGGAAAGACCCCAUGGAGCUUUACUGUAGCCUAAUAUUGGGUUUCGAUGUUGCAUGCACAGGAUAGAUGGGACACUGGGAAGCAGGUGCUUUGGCGCUUGUGGAGUGGCCGUUGGGAUUGAACCGGAUAAGAUCCAUUCUUUCACUUGGAAUGGCAAAAAAACAAAUUAUUUUAACAAAUUCUACAUCGUCGACGGCUAUAACACCAAAUAUGAAAAACUUCCUGGUGUGACAUUCUCUAUUGAAAAAAGCGACGAAGAAUCCAUAUUCUUAAUUAGUGCUAACCAAACUAUGAUGCAGAGGACCGGAGAGAUUCCGGUGACUUGGAAAGAGAAAUAUGGUAGAGAGGCAAAAUUGACUCUGACUGACCAUUGGGGGACUAAGCGUAGCUACAUUUUCAAGCCAAAAAUAGAUUUCUUCAACGGGAAAUGGAGAAUACAUCAAAAGUAUAACGGUAAAAGUCAUUCCACAACGUGGUACGACUUACCUAAAGAUCCCCCGAAUCGAAAAAUAAUAAUCCCUCCUGCCCAGAAUUUUGAUACUAUCGACAACGAAAAAGGUUGGGAAGAAUACGAAAUAUUCUUUAUAAACACCGAUGAUAAUCAAGGAUUUGCCUGGGAUUA
rnacentral:rRNA from 1 species